rnacentral:tRNA from 1 species
GCCCCCAUAGUUAAAUGGAUAUAACGAAUCCCUCCUAAGGAUUAAUUAUCGGUUCGAUUCCGGUUGGGGGUG